AGAUCAAACUGUUGGUCGUGCCUUGGUACGUACUGGCAUUAUUGAUUUCUCCCUUCUGGAGAACCACGAUGUCAUUAAUUUGGUGUCUUGGGGAAUCAGGACUGUUACCUUGAAAAAAUUAGAGUGUUUAAAGCAAGCUAACGCUUGAAUACAUUAGCAUGGAAUAAUGAAAUAGGACGUUCGAUCCUAUUUUGUUGGUUUCUAGGAUUGACGUA
rnacentral:rRNA from 1 species